AUCCAGCUAACGAUUCCCGAACAAGACGAAACGCGCGUCCUGGAU
rfam:Schistosoma haematobium scaffold961_8, whole genome shotgun sequence.